rnacentral:rRNA from 1 species
ACCGUACUCCUACGGGAGGCAGCAGUGGGGAAUUUUGGACAAUGGGGGCAACCCUGAUCCAGCAAUGCCGCGUGAGUGAAGAAGGCCUUCGGGUUGUAAAGCUCUUUUGUCAGGGAAGAAACGGUAGUAGCUAAUAUCUAUUACUAAUGACGGUACCUGAAGAAUAAGCACCGGCUAACUACGUGCCAGCAGCCGCGGUAAUACGUAGGGUGCAAGCGUUAAUCGGAAUUACUGGGCGUAAAGCGUGCGCAGGCGGUUGUGUAAGUCAGAUGUGAAAUCCCCGGGCUCAACCUGGGCAUUGCAUUUGAGACUGCACGGCUAGAGUGUGUCAGAGGGGGGUAGAAUUCCCCGUGUAGCCGCGAAAUGCGUAGAUAUGUGGAGGAAUACCGAUGGCGAAGGCCGCCCCCUGGGAUAACGCUGACGCUCAUGCACGAAAGCGUGGGGAGCAAACAGUAUUAGAACCCCCAGUAGUCCUUGAC